rnacentral:rRNA from 1 species
CAAUAGCGUAUAUUAAAGUUGUUGCGGUUAAAAAGACUCGUAGUUGGAUUUCUGCCGAGGACGACCGGUCCGCCCUCUGGGUGAGUAUCUGGUUCGGCCUGGGCAUCUUUCUUGGAGAACGUAUCUGCACUUUGACUGUGUGGUGCGGUAUCCAGGACUUUUUACUUUGAGGAAAUUAGAGUUGUUUCAAGCAGGCACACGCCUUGAAUUACAUUAGCAUGGAAUAAUAAGAUAGGACCUUGGUACUAUUUUGUUGGUUUCUAGAACUAAGGUAAUGAUUAAUAGGGAUAAUUGGGGGCAUUCGUAUUAACACGGUCAGAGGUGGAAUUCUUGGAUUUGUUAAAGACGGACUACUGCGAAAGCAUUUGCCAAGGAUGUUUUCAUUGAUCAAGAACGAAAGUUUAGGGGA